rnacentral:lncRNA from 1 species
GUGAGCUGACGCUCGGAAGGUGUCUUGAGAUUAUCAUCCGCUGAGGGUGGAAGCGGCCCCCGCAGACGCUCGGCAGGUGUCUUGAUAUUAUCAUCUGCUGAGGGUGGAGCUGAGGGUGGAAGGGGAGUGAGCUGACGCUCGGAAGGUGUCUUGAGAUUAUCAUCCGCUGAGGGUGGAAGCGGCCCCCGCAGACGCUCGGCAGGUGUCUUGAUAUUAUCAUCUGCUGAGGGUGGAGCUGAGGGUGGAAGGGGAGUGAGCUGACGCUCGGAAGGUGUCUUGAGAUUAUCAUCCGCUGAGGGUGGAAGCGGCCCCCGCAGACGCUCGGCAGGUGUCUUGAUAUUAUCAUCUGCUGAGGGUGGAGCUGAGGGUGGAAGGGGAGUGAGCUGACGCUCGGAAGGUGUCUUGAGAUUAUCAUCCGCUGAGGGUGGAACGGCCCCCGCAGACGCUCGGCAGGUGUCUUGAUAUUAUCAUCUGCUGAGGGUGGAGCUGAGGGUGGAAGGGGAGUGAGCUGACGCUCGGAAGGUGUCUUGAGAUUAUCAUCCGCUGAGGGUGGAAGCGGCCCCCGCAGACGCUCGGCAGGUGUCUUGAUAUUAUCAUCUGCUGAGGGUGGAGCUGAGGGUGGAAGGGGAGUGAGCUGACGCUCGGAAGGUGUCUUGAGAUUAUCAUCCGCUCAGGGUGGAAGCGGCCCCCGCAGACGCUCAGCAGGUGUCUUGAUAUUAUCAUCUGCUGAGGGUGGAGCUGAGGGUGGAAGGGGAGUGAGCUGACGCUCGGAAGGUGUCUUGAGAUUAUCAUCGGCUGAUGGUGGAAGCGGAAUCCGCAGACGCUCAGCAGGUAUCUUGAUAUUAUCAUCUGCUGAGGGUGGAGCUGAGG